rnacentral:rRNA from 1 species
GACGAACGCUGGCGGCGUGCCUAAUACAUGCAAGUAGAACGCACAGUUUAUACCGUAGCUUGCUACACCAUAGACUGUGAGUUGCGAACGGGUGAGUAACGCGUAGGUAACCUGCCUGGUAGCGGGGGAUAACUAUUGGAAACGAUAGCUAAUACCGCAUAAUAUUAAUUAUUGCAUGAUAAUUAAUUGAAAGGUGCAAUUGCACCACUACCAGAUGGACCUGCGUUGUAUUAGCUAGCAGGUGAGGUAACGGCUCACCUAGGCGACGAUACAUAGCCGACCUGAGAGGGUGAUCGGCCACACUGGGACUGAGACACGGCCCAGACUCCUACGGGAGGCAGCAGUAGGGAAUCUUCGGCAAUGGACGAAAGUCUGACCGAGCAACGCCGCGUGAGUGAAGAAGGUUUUCGGAUCGUAAAGCUCUGUUGUAAGAGAAGAACGGGUGUGAGAGUGGAAAGUUCACACUGUGACGGUAUCUUACCAGAAAGGGACGGCUAACUACGUG